rnacentral:lncRNA from 1 species
GGGUGAAGAUGAAGUCAUCUAAAACCCAAACUAGUCAGUGGAUGAUGGUCCUGCCCUCAGUCUUCAGUCUCUGAGCUCCAUUUCCUGUUCAGCUCCACUGAUCCUGCCCAACCGCAGCAGCCUGGCUCUCCAGUGUGAGGUUACCUCAUUCCCAUGGCCAUCCCUUUAGGUCCAGGCUGGUGUGAACAUUGAGAGUGAUUCCAGCCGAAACCAUCCUUCCUUCACCUUCAACCCAUUUUAAACCCAAAUGACCAACUACACUAAGUCAAACCUUAUUAUUUGAAAAUGAAAAAGUUCUGUUGGCCUUAGUAGCACUUCUCCAUAUUUCAGUCUCAGUUUUGUACUAAAGCAAUGGCUAAUACUUCUGCUGAUCUUUAGAUUUAUCAUACAUCCAGAAAAUACGUCAUGUAACAUGCACAUUUGCUUGUGUGUGUUCAUACACCAGCUGGCCUUGGAUGGAUAUUAUGCCAUUAGAUGUUGGCUGUGCUCCAGCGUGUUGUACUGCUAUAAGGGUCGGUUUUGUUCCAGUUUUGCAUUUCUCAUCGAACUGCCAUUGAUUUUUGCCAAGCCAUGCAUGCUUUUGCGUUUGGCUCUCAGAACCUGCUCGAGCGGAUGAAGAUGGAUGAGGUGUAUGCGUUUGCGUGUGUGUAUGGAGCUGAAUGUAUAAUGUUUCAGGGGGGGCUUUUGCCGGCAACGUUUUCCGCUCGUACUCGUACUCCUCCAAUCCCAACCUCAGCCAUUCACAUCUGGUUGCUAGGCAACAGAUGCAGCUCCGUUGCUUUUCUGUGGGUUCGUGAGCAAGCGUCUGGGAGGACAAAGCUUCUCUGUGGUCUGCCUGCUGAUGUUAGCAUCAGAGCAGUCGUUACAGCUCUCUGGAAGCCGCCGAAGAACUGCAUCCUGGUGAAGAUCAGGAGGAAAAUAUCUUUCCCAGAACCAGUUUCUCAGCUGAAGCCGACAUCAGCCAGGCACGGAUCAUCGCCAGCUCCUAAAAUGUCAUUCCUCUAA